rnacentral:rRNA from 1 species
UGGUCCUGAUGAUUUGGUUACUUUUCAUAAUUUUCAUAAAAUUUGAUAAUUAUUUAGAAAUU